AAAUUGCGUGGAAAUCAG
rnacentral:snRNA from 1 species